rnacentral:rRNA from 1 species
GACGAACGCUGGCGGCGUGCUUAACACAUGCAAGUCGAACGGAAAGGCCCUGCUUUUGUGGGGUGCUCGAGUGGCGAACGGGUGAGUAACACGUGAGUAACCUGCCCUUGACUUUGGGAUAACUUCAGGAAACUGGGGCUAAUACCGGAUAGGAGCUCCUGCUGCAUGGUGGGGGUUGGAAAGUUUCGGCGGUUGGGGAUGGACUCGCGGCUUAUCAGCUUGUUGGUGGGGUAGUGGCUUACCAAGGCUUUGACGGGUAGCCGGCCUGAGAGGGUGACCGGCCACAUUGGGACUGAGAUACGGCCCAGACUCCUACGGGAGGCAGCAGUGGGGAAUAUUGCACAAUGGGCGGAAGCCUGAUGCAGCAACGCCGCGUGCGGGAUGACGGCCUUCGGAUUGUAAACCGCUUUCGCCUGUGACGAAGCGUGAGUGACGGUAAUGGGUAAAGAAGCACCGGCUAACUACGUGCCAGCAGCCGCGGUGAUACGUAGGGUGCGAGCGUUGUCCGGGUUUAUUGGGCGUAAAGGGCUCGUAGGUGGUUGAUCGCGUCGGAAGUGUAAUCUUGGGGCUUAACCCUGAGCGUGCUUUCGAUACGGGUUGACUUGAGGAAGGUAGGGGAGAAUGGAAUUCCUGGUGGAGCGGUGGAAUGCGCAGAUAUCAGGAGGAACACCAGUGGCGAAGGCGGUUCUCUGGGCCUUUCCUGACGCUGAGGAGCGAAAGCGUGGGGAGCGAACAGGCUUAGAUACCCUGGUAGUCCACGCUGUAAACGGUGGGUACUAGGUGUGGGGUCCAUUCCACGGGUUCCGUGCCGUAACUAACGCUUUAAGUACCCCGCCUGGGGAGUACGGCCGCAAGGCUAAAACUCAAAGGAAUUGACGGGGCCCCGCACAAGCGGCGGAGCAUGCGGAUUAAUUCGAUGCAACGCGUAGAACCUUACCUGGGUUUGACAUGGAUCGGGAGUGCUCAGAGAUGGGUGUGCCUCUUUUGGGGUCGGUUCACAGGUGGUGCAUGGCUGUCGUCAGCUCGUGUCGUGAGAUGUUGGGUUAAGUCCCGCAACGAGCGCAACCCUUGUUCACUGUUGCCAGCACGUUAUGGUGGGGACUCAGUGGAGACCGCCGGGGUCGACUCGGAGGAAGGUGGGGAUGACGUCAAGUCAUCAUGCCCCUUAUGUCCAGGGCUUCACGCAUGCUACAAUGGCUGGUACAGAGAGUGGCGAGCCUGUGAGGGUGAGCGAAUCUCGGAAAGCCGGUCUCAGUUCGGAUUGGGGUCUGCAACUCGACCUCAUGAAGUCGGAGUCGCUAGUAAUCGCAGAUCAGCAACGCUGCGGUGAAUACGUUCCCGGG